rnacentral:sRNA from 4 species
UGUAUCGGAAGCCUGACGAGGAUGAGAACCUCCGGGGGCAAGAGGUUCGACUCGAGCGCAGCGAGAGAACGUUGCUUCAGCAACGGCCCGCAGGGCGAGCCACGCAGUGGCGAGUCAUCCUCUAUCACCGACCA